GAACAUUUCAACAGACGUCGUCUUGAUCUUUCUCCUCUGGAAAGGCCAUGUGGCAGGUGUAGCACUUCUAUCAUCCUUUAAAAACAAGAAAUGGACAGUGACUGGGGGAUACCUAGUCAUUUUUUUGUCAAACCUUCAAAUAGGUUUAGGUGUUCAGACGUUCCUGAGUACUGGACAGACCAUAUUUUCCAGAAUACAUUGACAAGGAAUGUUGUCCAGGGCCUCCACUGCCACCCUCUUGUUGCCCCUGACGCUGCUCUCCUCCUGGUCGUACAUGGGACACAUGUAGGCUGUUCGCCUCAGGGCGUAGAUGUCCACCUCGUCCUCGUCGUCCCACGGCUGGCGUUGGCACUGACCAGGGACACGUUGCCCUGGCCCAGGGAGGGCAGCAGUUUGGGCCGGGGGGCCACCGGGGGUUUGGGGACCUUUGGAGUAGGAGCAUCCCUCUGGGCUCUCCUGGCCAGCAGGGGUCCUGUCUGGACGAAGGCCUCAGGCCUGAUGAUGUCCCUGGGUGGGCUGCUGCUCCCUCUGGCAGCCUCCUCUGGCUGGGCAGCUUUCGGCAUGGAGAGAACAAACACAUUGUUGCUGAAGCUGCAUGACUCUGAAAGGGCCGGCUCCUCCAGGGUCAGAGGGCAGGUAGGACGGGACUCAGGCUGGACUACAUCCACAGUGCUGGUAGUGAUGCUCACAGGACUGGUAGGUUGGGACUCGAGCAUAAUGGAACACACAGGAUUACUGGGCUUAACUUUUCUCCUAGUGGUGCUCCGAGGGUUGCUAGGCCUUCCCUCAGGUCUGGAAGGCUGAACAUCAGGCUGGACCAGGCUGACUGGUCUAACAGGCCGUCUAGUGGGGCCCAGAGGGUUGCUAGGCCUCCCCUCAGGUCUGGAAGGCUGUACAUCAGGCUGGACCAGGCCCACUGGUCUAACAGGCCGUCUGGGUUGCCGAGGGUUGCUAGGCCUCCCCUCAGGUCUGGAAGGCUGUACAUCAGGUUGGACCAGGCCUACGGGGCUAACAGGCCGUCUAGUGGGGCGUUGAGGGUUGCUAGGCCUCCCCUCAGGUCUAGUGAUGCUGACAGAGAUUCUAGGUAUCAUUGACUCAGGCUGGUACAGGCUCUCUGGGCUGCUGGGCCGGGAAUCAGGCAGAAGCUUGUAGUUCUUCAGAACCUCAGUGAAGGAAAGCUCCUUGUUGCGCCUGCGUCUGUUGGUUUUGGCAGGUAGCUGGGAGCUGCUGCUGUUAAACCAACCGGGAGACUCACGACAUCCAUCCUGGACAGGAACCAGGGACUGGAGGUCUCUCCUCUUUCUGUGGGCAGCUGUGGGCCUCUUGGGCCU
ensembl:lncRNA